UGUUACUCAUUUAUUCCUUAUGGUCAAUCACAUUAUCAUCCGACACCAAUGUUCGGGUGAACAAAAGACUGAACCUACCAACAAAAACUAAUGCCAACCUUGAAAGAAAGUUUGAGUGCGUUACAUAAAACCACUACCUGUCACAUUUUAGACCUUCCAAUGCAUGCUUUUAGUGUAGUGCAGGCAGAUCACUUAUUGUGGCAGGGUGGACAUGGAUGGUCCUUCUCAGAAGAACACACUCAGAUUUUGACUGUUUCAACAUUUCGAAAUAGCAAAAUCAUUCGUGUUUAGCAUCAAUCUUCUACAAGAUGCUGCAACCUUGUCCACAAUGGGAGAAUCUCGUAUCGCAAGAGGAAGGCUUUCAGUUGUCCAGGCCAGGCCAGGUGACCAAUGACGAUGAUAGAUUGGGUUCGAUUCAAGCUAUACGCUUGGUGUAUUUGGUUAUCGUGACUGGCGACUUGAGUCUAUCUCAUCUCAUUUCCAAAGCGCGGUGGCUGGGUCCCAGGCAUGCUUGCCACUUUGUUCUGCGGUCCUCAUCUAAGUUUCGACGGUGAUGACAUGGACUUAGGUUCAAAGUACGUGUUCCCCUUGAGUCAUUGUGGUUGAUUGAUGGGGGGAAUAGACAGUUGCGUGUCGCUAGUCAUUCAAUUGGUCCCCUUGUUUUAGAGUGUUGGCGGGAUAAGUCUUACGACUGUUAACAAUAGUAAGCAAUAGCUGGCCAGCGAUCCCCUACCUGAUCUCGAGGGGGAUGGAAUGACUGGGGUCCAAGGCCUGUUGUUAACCUGCGGAAUUUCGUCGGACGAAAUGUCAGGCGUGUCCGUGUGGGACUUGUGCUAAACCAGUUUAGUACAUAUGACGAAGACAUUGGGCUCUUUGAAUAACAACAGUGUUCUUGACCUCCUUGUGCCUCACAAAGCUAAUAAUAUACACCCCCUGAAAUCGACAAGACGGCGAUGAAGAAGGAGAGCCGGCCUCCAGCUGGUCAGCCAAGGAGCCACUGGACACGAAGAAUACAGUCUUGAUGCCAAUGUUGGAUUCAAACGGGCCCGGUCCAACAUUGUACAAAGGCCACAAGGUCCAGGGCCACGGGACCAGGGACACAAGGACCAGGGACACAAGGACAAGGGACACAAGGACAAGGGACACAAAAGUUGUUGCAGCCUGCAGGCCCUCUGCAGAGUGAGAUGAUGGCUGUCGAGACGACCCAACCACUCAACCAAGAUCUACAAUCGUACUAUGGUAGACGGGACUCUCCAAGAUUUUGGAUGACGAAGGAAUCUAACACAUAAACGUCGCUCACAGAUACAGCAGACGACCGAGAGCCGAGUGGAUUCAGUGGAUCGAACGGUUGCGCUGAGGGAUAUCCAUGUGCAGGAAUGACGAACCACAGUUCAGCAAACGAUGCCUUGACAGACCAAUUCAAGGAGAACCUUCGCUAAGAUCGGGAAGGGAACGUGUUUGCUGUGUGGAUGGAUUGGACACCGAAAUGUCCGUCGUUCUAAUAGACUACAAUGACAAUGUUCUAAUAGACUAUAAUGACGUUCGAAUUCCGAAGGGACUCUCUGGACUUAGGGAAAGCUACGGACAUAGAGCCCGGACAUGAUAUCCUGCAGCCACCACGAGGACAGCCUAUCUCAUACAUUUGGAAGGAUGCUAUCACACGCAUGGUGAAGCAUCCCACAGAAGAGAGAAGGAUGAUGUCGACCCAGCACAUCCUCUCCAGUUGUCAUCAAGGAACAAUUUGAUGACGGUUUGAUUGUAUUUUUGUCAUCGUAGGCCUUAUCCUUAUACCAAGUUGUGUUUUAUUGAAAUAUCUGAUUGAAAGGUGAUUUAAUCAAAAUCCUAAUAUUUUCUGAUGGUGAGAUUGCAAAGUUACCUUCUUUAUAUGGCAAUGACUCUACGAUUGCCAUGGGUCAAAAUCUUACACCCAUCAAAAGAUGGAAUCGAAAUUAUGGGAUGGGGGUGUUUGAGGUUACCAGGAGACUGGCAGGGGAGCAACAGAGCACUUUUGGAUCCAAGAAAGCAAAAUACAGGGUGGGGUGGUGAACAAUGGAUGGGACAGCGUUGUCUGCAGCUGCCAGGGUAGCCAACGACCACACUUGAACUGUUUUCAAGCAAAAUUGAUUUUUCUGCUCAUAAAUCACCUAAACUCGUCGAUAUUUCAUUUGAUUGUGUCCAUCACUUGAGACAUGGGGUCCAUGUGUUGUUGUUUCUCUGACCCCAGGAAACAAGAACACAUGUGUCUGAUGGAAACGUAGGCCUCUUAUAUAAUGUUGCUUGAUCUCUCUAGUACCACAGAAUCCACUGACAAUCGGCCUGAGAUCCGAUAACCUGAAUGCCCUCGACUUGUUAUCGUCAAUGGCUGGCUCAGUCGCUCAGCGCCAAUGCUUGAGACAACUGACCAACAACAUAGUGAAUUUGUUGAAAUCAUUUCCUCGGGUAUCAGUAAAUUAAAAUUUACUAAUACCCUCGUACCAUCUAAUAAAACAGUAAGUUUAAAACUCUCACUGUUUUAUUGAAACCUACCAUGAUCAAUAGUUAGUUUAACUCUGAAUUUAACCGACUAGACUGGUUCCUGAUCCUACCCCAGUGGUCGCACAGGAACAAAGCUCAAGUCUUUUCUUCAACGUUCAAGCAUUCUGCGAGUUACGAAAAAUAUCUUUUUGCCCCGUCAAAAAGAUUUUAGAUUAGAUUGGUACUGAAUGGAUCAAGCAAAUUGUCAUUUUAAGAACGUCCACUUUUUGACGUUUUUAGAAUAUUUGUCUUGUAUGCAUGUACAUGUACUUGUAAAUCUUGUAUGUAAAAACGAAUGUUUCGUAAAUAAAAUGUCUAAAUGAGAUCAAGACUCUACUUGCCAAAAAAGAGCUGGCAAACCAACUUUUAGUCUUUGCCAUGUCAAGGUCACAUCUUUUGUCAUGCAGAUUAAUGUCAAAGGUGCUCCUUUUGUCAUGCAAAGUUGGCAGACCAGCUCUCCAGAGCCAUGAGAAAUGUGGUUCUUUUGUUAUUCAAAUUGGGUCCUUAACCAAUUGACAGCAAAGUGACCAGUCGUAUUACAAUGGGUUUUUAUAAUACAAAAGCUAAUCCAUGUAUAGAGACAUGAUGAAUGCAUGCAGAGGUUUAGUGCUGGCGUUUCCGUUGUGAAUACUGCUGGCUUAUACUUUUGUGUUGGAGUCGAACAAUAGUAUGAUCUCAAUUUAGCAUUGUGUUUCUUGGACACUUAUUAGUGUUCCUUUGUUAAGGAGUUGAACAUGUUUUAAAGGGAUAGUGCUACAAAGAUCUCCCUGGUCCUCCUCCUAAUUGGGCUUUCGGAGUGGUGCAGUAAAUACUUAAGACAACCAUCAAUGUAAUGUUCAUGUUUGAUGAAGUCAUGAUAGAUAUUUGGGCUGCGCCUGUCACCUGUAUGAUGGAGUUGGCGACUCCCUCCGAUCGCGUAGGUUUUCUCCCGGUGUGCGGGUUUCCUCCUACAAGACAUCCCAAAACGCCAUGUGUCAUCCUUGGAAUGUACAACAAUAAAGAAUUUGAAAGAAAA